GGAUGGAUCAUUAUCGGUUUAUCCCACGUUUCGUCAACCGCGAACUGUUUACCUUUAGUUGUAGGAUUGAGUUACCGCUGCUUUGUGUCUUUAAUUGAUGCUAUAGUGGCGUAACGGUCUCUUUUUUCUCGUCCUAGGGAUUUUUGGAGGAGACUUAAGUAGCUCGGCUGAUUGUUGCCCUACGCGCAGCAGGGUGAUGGUUAGUUAAUUUGUGGGAUUUGAGAUGGACUAUUAUUGAGGAUAUGCGCAUCUUUGAUGAGAACAAUCUUAAGUCUUGGCGAGGUCGUUAAUUCGACUAAUAUGAUCCUAUGGCUAAUUGUAAGUAACAAUAAAUCUGUACGGACCAAAUUGAGAUCGGGGUGAACGAAGAUGGAUUACGAAUCCGAAAGGAAUUGUGAUUCAUUUUGAUUACCUCUUGAACUCAGUUUUUCUCCUACCCUAUGAACGAUUCAAACGUACAUACAAUUGACUGACCUACUUCUUUCAGCUGAAAGGCAGAAAGAAUGAUAUUACGAAACUAAGUACAACUCUUAGCAACGGAUAUCUCGGUUCUCGUAACGAUGAAGAACGCAGCGAAAUGCGAUACGUAAUGCGAAUUGCAGAAUUCAGUGAAUCAUCAAAUCUUUGAACGCAAAUUGCGCUUCUAGUUCAACUAUGAAGCAUACUUCUUUGAGUAUCGUUUUCACCUCAGCUCGACUGCGUGUCGGAAAAUGAGUGUCUCGUUUGCUUUAAUUAGUGAAUGGGUCGCUUUAAGUGCAUUGACAUACAUUUAAUCCUAAUUCUAGUAUUCUCCGGUGCAUUAGUAUCAGACGGGAGUCCUUUCGGGGAUUCCAGGCUGCUAUUGUAUAAAAGCUCCAGAUGCAGAGUGGGACGUGGAUAGAGAUCUUUCGAUUUUAAUUCACGGGGAUUCUGUGGUGCUGUAUUGAGCUAGUGCGAUGGUAGCUGUUUGAGAAUGUGCUAAGGAGUUAGUCAUUCAGUUGGUAUUAGAGUUAAUACGAUGUAUGGUUUGGGAAUAAAUUAACCUUUUGAAUUAGAUCUCAAAUGAAGUAAGAACACCCGCUGAACUUAAGCAUAUUAUUAAGCGGAGGAAAAGAAACUAACAAGGAUGCCCUCAGUAACGGCGAGUGAAGCGGGCAAAGCUCAACCUGAAAAUCGGGUUCCCAAACGGGAGUUCGAAUUGUGGGCUAGAGAUGCUGGAUCAGUGUGUGACCUAGGUAUAACUCUUUUGAAACAAGGGAUCAUAGAGGGUGAGAAUCCCGUCUGUGACCUAGAGUUCGCCGCGUACGAUCCGUAUUCACAGAGUCGAGUUGUUUGGGAUUGCAGCUCUAAAUGGGUGGUAAAUUUCAUCUAAAGCUAAAUACCGACGAGAGACCGAUAGCGAACAAGUACCGUGAGGGAAAGAUGAAAAGAACUUUGAAAAGAGAGUUAAAAAGUACUUGAAAUUGCUAAGAGAGAAGCACUGGAAACCAGUCGUGAUUCGCGUGGAUACUUACUAGUAUGCCUUUGCUCGAGUCUUUGUGUUUGGAGCCCAAAGCCCCGAUACGUUGGCUCUUGUUUGGGUUGCUGGGUCCUGUCCUGUGAAUCGGAUCAGAAUCAGUUUGACUCGUGAGAGAAAGCUAUGGCAUCGUUGGGGGUGGAAGGCUUGCUUUCCUAACUCGGGAGCUGUAGUGCUAUCAUGGAUUAGACUGAGGGACAAUCGAAAUGCGCACCACUAGGUUAUCGGCUCCCAAACCCUGGAUUGUUAGUUGGUUUGUACAACAAGUUGUGCGGUCGGCGAAACUUUCUACUGGAAUGGAUGAGACCAGAAGCUGCAUUCGAGAUUCUGAUGAAAUGGUUUUCAUUGACCCGUCUUGAAACACGGACCAAGGAGUCUAACAUAUAUGCGAGUAUUUGGGCCUAGAAACCCUUAUGCGCAAUGAAAGUAAAGGAAGUCUUAGGAUUUCUGAGGUAGGAACCUGCGUCUUCGGCCGCAGGGGCACUAUCGACGAUCAGUCACUUGUGGCAGAUUUGAGUAUGAGCAUAUCUGUUGGGACCCGAAAGAUGGUGAUCUAUGCCUGAACAGGGCGAAGCCAGGGGAAACUCUGGUGGAGGCUCGUAGCGAUACUGACGUGCAAAUCGUUCGUCUGAUUUGGGUAUAGGGGCGAAAGACUAAUCGAACCAUCUAGUAGCUGGUUCCCUC
rnacentral:misc_RNA from 1 species